AUUGAACGCUGGCGGCAUGCCUUACACAUGCAAGUCGAACGGCAGCACGGGAGCAAUCCUGGUGGCGAGUGGCGAACGGGUGAGUAAUAUAUCGGAACGUGCCCAGUCGUGGGGAUAACGUAGCGAAAGCUACGCUAAUACCGCAUACGAUCUAUGGAUGAAAGCGGGGGAUCGCAAGACCUCGCGCGAUUGGAGCGGCCGAUAUCAGAUUAGGUAGUUGGUGAGGUAAAGGCUCACCAAGCCGACGAUCUGUAGCUGGUCUGAGAGGACGACCAGCCACACUGGGACUGAGACACGGCCCAGACUCCUACGGGAGGCA
rnacentral:rRNA from 1 species